CGCAGGCACUUUGUUAAUUUUAGAGAACCUCGGGCCAAUCGCACAUCCCUGUGACGGCGAAUUUGCAUUCGGAUGUCAUCCAUAUCAACUUUUGAUGCCAGUUUCUGCACCUACCAUGGUGACCACGGGUAAUGGGGAAUCAGGGUUCCAUUCCGUACAAGGACCUUGAGAAAUGGCUACCACAUGCAAGGAAGGCAGCAGGCGCGCAAAUGACCCACUCCUGAUGCAGGAAGGUAGUGACG